CCUCUCAAAGCUUCAGAGAAAGGUCCCCGUUUUGUAGGUUAGAGAGUUGAGGCACAGACCAGCUAAGAGAGUUUGUGUAGAGCAGGGAUGUGCUUUGACAAAGCCCAGGCUCUUUAACCAUCCUGCGGUUCUGUGAUUAUUGUGAAUAAGAAGAUGAUGCAUAAAAAGCACCUACAAGUCCCUGUAUAACGCUAAGUGUCCCAUAUAGGAUAGCUUUGAUUAAUUUUAGAGUUGUUUUUCACAAGAUCCUUUUGUUGUGAUCAUGAUAAAGUUCAGCUUUCAAUGAUGCAUAUCAAAUUCUGUUAUUUUUAAAAGUCUAGUCACCAGUCACGACCCUGAAAUAAAUGCAAAGCGUUGAGUGAUUGCAUUUAGAGUAUGGUGUAGUACACAUUUAGUCCAUCAGAGAGGGUCAUCACUUCUAUCAGGACUUUAAAAAAAAGAUGGCGGUGGCAGAGUAGGGGGUGCGGCUGCCAACUCUGAGCACUAGCCUGUACCAGAGAGGUCGUGGGGCGGGACCGGCCCGAAGCCACGUGGGAGGCCUCGCCCCCUUGGGGAGCCCCGCCUCUAGAGCCGAGGCGCCUGCGCCAGCCCCCUCAGGCCGGGCCGGUCUCACAGAGCACGCGCACUCUGCCGCAUUCUGAUUGGCGGAUCCGCGUACCCCACCGCACUCUGAUUGGUGGAGCCGCCCCAGGCUUUGGGUCUGGGGCUCAACGCUCAGCUCCUGAAGAUCUGCACGCGCCUGGCGGGGGCGCAGGGUAGGGGUCCUACGGCACCCGGGCUUUGUGCCUUGGCAAGGACGAGCGGGACGGCUCGGCUCCACCCGGGCGCUCCAGUCUAGGGGCUGGGGCAGCUCACGUCGCUCCUGCUUCCGCCGUACCCCUCUCCACGACUUCGGUCGGGCAUGUUUUCCAGGGCCCAGAUGAUGUCUACCGUAGAAAAGCCUCAGAAAGACAGUAUCAGAGACGGCUGGAAGAUGCACCAGAGACUGAACUUCAGCAAUCAAUAAAGUGAAUAUGAAAUUUUA